GAUGAACGCUGGCGGCGUGCCUAAUACAUGCAAGUCGAGCGAACAGACGAGGAGCUUGCUCCCCUGACGUUAGCGGCGGACGGGUGAGUAACACGUGGAUAACCUACCUAUAAGACUGGGAUAACUUCGGGAAACCGGAGCUAAUACCGGAUAAUAUAUUGAACCGCAUGGUUCAAUAGUGAAAGACGGUUUUGCUGUCACUUAUAGAUGGAUCCGCGCCGCAUUAGCUAGUUGGUAUGGUAACGGCUUACCAAGGCAACGAUGCGUAGCCGACCUGAGAGGGUGAUCGGCCACACUGGAACUGAGACACGGUCCAGACUCCUACGGGAGGCAGCAGUAGGGAAUCUUCCGCAAUGGGCGAAAGCCUGACGGAGCAACGCCGCGUGAGUGAUGAAGGUCUUCGGAUCGUAAAACUCUGUUAUUAGGGAAGAACAAAUGUGUAAGUAACUAUGCACGUCUUGACGGUACCUAAUCAGAAAGCCACGGCUAACUACGUG
rnacentral:rRNA from 1 species